CCCGCCAACCGCUCCUGCGCCCGCCCCCGCCUUCCCUUCACGACUCCAACCCCUCGACACUCCCGUACCCGCUGACCAGUCCAUUUGUGCCCUCCGAAACUCUGCUUACGUUUUCAUCUUCCUCCUGGCUGCCUCGCCGGCCACUCGUCGCCGCCACAGCUGGAGCUAGCAACGAAGCCCGGGGAAGGAAUCCACCGUCGCAGCGCCGCUCAUUAUAACACAUCAGCGCAACCUAAUUGUUCUCCCUCCGCCGCGUCGUGUCAUCCUUGGAUUUGUUUUUGCAGACCGCGACCGGUGGCCUCCGGAGGCAAGGUUCAUCGAGCCCGCCCACCACGGCGAUAUUCGCGACAUCAAGAAUUGCAAAGGAGAUGGACGUGCACGGCCACGGGAUUCCGAUGACGGUGGCCAGCACGAACUACAUGGGCAUGAACGCGCUCCACGAUGCAGGUGGCUACGGCAAGCUGCCCGUCUACCAGUAUCUCGUUGAGGAGGUCGGAAUGGAAGUGAACAAGCCUGACACCGCUCAGGAUCUUACACCCGUAGAGCAUGCCAUUAACUAUGGCAACCUUCCUAUCGUUAGUUACCUUCUUGACCAUGGCGCUGAUCUGCAUCAGCAACGCUCGGGAGACAUCACUCUUCUUCAGCUACAGUCCGGGGAGGUGUGCAAUGAGAUUGUUGAAAGCAGAGGAGCUAUUGCGGAAAUUGCUUGAGGGUGGGUCCAAGAAGAAGGCUCGGCUAGUCAGGCUCGAUGUCAGCAGUAAGUAUGUCGGGCUAGCAGUUUAUGAACAACAAAGCAGGUUUGCCUUGCCUCUGAGGUUAACAAUUACUCCCUUGCGGGGCUUGUUGUGGGUUAUCCAUUCAACUUACAAGGCAUCACAAGUAAGCCUUCUCGUAGGAGAACUUUGUAAAACUGGGAAACAUGCAUGAUGAUUUGAGCUACACAUAUUGGGAUGAAUUUUUUACCUCAAAGGACCAGACCUACCUCGGUUGGCAAGGUGGUGUUCAAAUCGGAGAUUCAAGCUUGCCUCUCCAUGUGCUUUAUUGAGGUGGAACAAAUUUCUUGGUGACACCCAAUUUGUUGUUGGUGUGAUGCGGGAGGUAGAGCUCCGCGUGGCACUGAAGAAAGAGACCAACAUGUUCAAAAAUCAAAGGCGGUGCAAGGGGCAUAAAGAGGAGUUCCACAUAGGAAAUGAUCCAUGAUGGGAGGGACACUUCCGAGGCAAUGAGAUGCCGACGUGAAAACAUCUAGCUACACAGAAGGGCAUUUGCUAAACAGAAAUUCCUUUUAAAUUGUUAUAAAUUUCAGUUUAGACAAUGUUAUAAAAACCUUACAUGUUAUUGUGGCAACCAUUGUCAUAGACAAAUCAAUUUGGAUAAUCAAAACAUUGAACUUA